rnacentral:rRNA from 1 species
UACAGAGGGUGCAAGCGUUAAUCGGAAUUAUUGGGCGUAAAGCGCACGUAGGUGGCUAGUAAGUUGGAUGUGAAAGCCCUGGGCUUAACCUGGGAAUGGCAUUCAAGACUGUUAGUCUAGAGUAUGGGAGAGGGAAGUGGAAUUUCUGGUGUAGCGGUGAAAUGCGUAGAUAUCAGAAGGAACAUCAGUGGCGAAGGCGACUUCCUGGCCUAAUACUGACACUAAGGUGCGAAAGCGUGGGGAGCAAACAGG